UACGAAGGGGGCUAGCGUUGCUCGGAAUCACUGGGCGUAAAGCGCACGUAGGCUGCUUCUUAAGUCAGGGGUGAAAUCCUGGAGCUCAACUCCAGAACUGCCUUUGAUACUGAGAGGCUUGAGUCCGGGAGAGGUGAGUGGAACUGCGAGUGUAGAGGUGAAAUUCGUAGAUAUUCGCAGGAACAUCCGAGGCGAAAGCGGCUUGCUGGAUCGCAACUGACGCUGAGGGACGAAAGCUAGGGGAGCAAACAGG
rnacentral:rRNA from 1 species